rnacentral:rRNA from 1 species
UACGGGGGGGGCAAGCGUUGUUCGGAAUUACUGGGCGUAAAGAGCUCGUAGGUGGUUUGUCGCGUUGUCCGUGAAAACUCACAGCUCAACUGUGGGCGUGCGGGCGAUACGGGCAGACUGGAGUACUGCAGGGGAGACUGGAAUUCCUGGUGUAGCGGUGGAAUGCGCAGAUAUCAGGAGGAACACCGGUGGCGAAGGCGGGUCUCUGGGCAGUAACUGACGCUGAGGAGCGAAAGCGUGGGGAGCGAACAGG